UCUUGCCUACGGGGCGCAGCAGUGAGGAAUAUUGGUCAAUGGUCGGGAGACUGAACCAGCCAAGCCGCGUGAGGGAGGAAGGUACAGAGUAUCGUAAACCUCUUUUGUCAGGGAACAAAGACUGGGACGCGUCCCCGGAUGAGUGUACCUGAAGAAAAAGCAUCGGCUAACUCCGUGCCAGCAGCCGCGGUAAUACGGAGGAUGCGAGCGUUAUCCGGAUUUAUUGGGUUUAAAGGGUGCGCAGGCGGUCUGUUAAGUCAGCGGUCAAAGCCCGGGGCUCAACCCCGGCCCGCCGUUGAAACUGG
rnacentral:rRNA from 1 species